rnacentral:rRNA from 1 species
GGUUGAUCCUGCCAGUAGUCAUAUGCUUGUCUCAAAGAUUAAGCCAUGCAUGUCUAAGUAUAAGCAAUUAUACCGCGAAACUGCGAAUGGCUCAUUAUAUAAGUUAUCGUUUAUUUGAUAAUACUUUACUACUUGGAUAACCGUGGUAAUUCUAGAGCUAAUACAUGCUAAAAAUCCCGACUUCGGAAGGGUUGUAUUUAUUAGAUUAAAAACCAAUGCCCCUCGGGGCUCUCUGGUGAAUCAUGAUAACUAGUCGAAUCGACAGGCCUUGUGCCGGCGAUGGCUCAUUCAAA